rnacentral:rRNA from 1 species
CCCCCCCCGUUAACCUAACACUAGAGCAUUACUGGAAAGAUUAAAAGAAAAAGAAGGAACUCGGCAAACAAUGGCCUCGCCUGUUUACCAAAAACAUCGCCUCUUGUUACCCCUAAGAGGUCCCGCCUGCCCAGUGACUNCUGUUCAACGGCCGCGGUAUCCUAACCGUGCAAAGGUAGCGUAAUCACUUGUCUUUUAAAUAAAGACUAGUAUGAAAGGCGCCACGAGGGCUAAGCUGUCUCCUUUUUCUAAUCAGUGAAUCUGAUCCCCCUGUGAAGAAGCAGGGAUAUUCGUAUAAGACGAGAAGACCCUAUGGAGCUUAAAACACCACAACACCUGCUGNACUUUUAGAGUACUAGACUCAUCACCCACACAGCACACUGAUUGUGAGUUUUUGGUUGGGGUGACCGCGGAGAAUAACUAAUCCUCCACAGCGAAUGGGGAUUUCCUUAAACAAUAAGUUACAACUUUAUGUAUCAAUAAAUUGACACCCAUUGACCCAAUACACUUGAUCAACGAACCAAGUUACCCUAGGGAUAACAGCGCAAUCCACUUUAAGAGCUCCUAUCGACAAGUGGGCUUACGACCUCGAUGUUGGAUCGGGRUAUCCUAGUGGUGUAGUCGCUACUAAGGGUUCGUUUGUUCAACGAUUAAAAUCCCACGUGAUCUGAGUUCAGACCGGAGUAAUCCAGGUCAGUUUCUAUCUAUAAGGAGCUUUUUUCAGUACGAAAGGACCAAAAUAGCACGGCCAAUACUGCUUCAAGCCGUAACUAGUUAUUUUUGACUCAACUAAAAAAAUUCACUACUCCCCGACCCACCC